rnacentral:rRNA from 1 species
AUUGAACGCUGGCGGCAUGCUUUACACAUGCAAGUCGAACGGUAACAGGCCUUCGGGUGCUGACGAGUGGCGAACGGGUGAGUAAUGCAUCGGAACGUACCCAGAGGUGGGGGAUAACGCAGCGAAAGCUGUGCUAAUACCGCAUGUGAUCUGAGGAUGAAAGCGGGGGACCGAGCAGCAAUGUUUGGCCUCGCGCCUUUGGAGCGGCCGAUGUCGGAUUAGCUAGUUGGUGGGGUAUAGGCCUACCAAGGCGACGAUCCGUAGCUGGUCUGAGAGGACGACCAGCCACACUGGGACUGAGACACGGCCCAGACUCCUACGGGAGGCAGCAGUGGGGAAUUUUGGACAAUGGGCGCAAGCCUGAUCCAGCAAUGCCGCGUGCGGGAAGAAGGCCUUCGGGUUGUAAACCGCUUUUGGCAGGAACGAAACGGUGUCCGCUAAUACCGGGCGCUAAUGACGGUACCUGCAGAAUAAGCACCGGCUAACUACGUG